rnacentral:rRNA from 1 species
UACGUAGGUGGCAAGCGUUGUCCGGAUUUACUGGGCGUAAAGAGCGCGCAGGCGGUCGUCCAAGUCGCGUGUGAAAGCCCCCGGCUCAACUGGAGGGUCACGCGAUACUGGUCGACUCGAAGGCAGGAGAGGGUAGUGGAAUUCCCGGUGUAGUGGUGAAAUGCGUAGAUAUCGGGAGGAACACCAGUGGCGAAGGCGACUACCUGGCCUGUUCUUGACGCUGAGGCGCGAAAGCUAGGGGAGCAAACGGG